rnacentral:rRNA from 1 species
GUCUCCUCGAAAAAUGUUUUAUGGGGAGUCGGACCUGCCCGGUGACUAGAGUGUUAAACGGCCGCGGUACCCUAACCGUGCAAAGGUAGCAUAAUCAUUUGCCUUUUAAUUGAAGGCUUGUAUGAAUGGUCUGACGAGAGCUAAGCUGUCUCUUUUAAAAUACAUAGAAAUUAACUUUUAGGUGAAGAGGCCUAAGUAGAGCUGAAAGACAAGAAGACCCUGUUGAGCUUUAGUGAAAUUUUGUUUAGUUGAAGCUAUUGAGCUUUAUUACAUUAAUGAAAUAAUUAAACUUAAUUAAUCUUUAGUUGGGGCGACUGAGGAACAUACAAAGCUUCCUCUUAUAGGUAAAUUGAUUUUAGUUAAUUUUUGUAGACCAAUUUGUAUAUGAUCCGACACUUGUCGAUUAAGGGAACAAGUUACCACAGGGAUAACAGCGUAAUCUUUCUGGAGAGAUCUAAUCGAAAGAAGGGUUUGCGACCUCGAUGUUGGACUAAGAUAUCCUGAGGGUGUAGAAGUUUUCAAGGGUUGGUCUGUUCGACCAUUAAAAUCUU